UGGGGAAUAUUGCACAAUGGGCGCAAGCCUGAUGCAGCCAUGCCGCGUGUGUGAAGAAGGCCUUCGGGUUGUAAAGCACUUUCAGCGAGGAGGAAGGUGGUGGACUUAAUACGUUCAUCAAUUGACGUUACUCGCAGAAGAAGCACCGGCUAACUCCGUGCCAGCAGCCGCGGUAAUACGGAGGGUGCAAGCGUUAAUCGGAAUUACUGGGCGUAAAGCGCACGCAGGCGGUUUGUUAAGUCAGAUGUGAAAUCCCCGGGCUCAACCUGGGAACUGCAUUUGAAACGCUGGCAAGCUAGAGUCUCGUAGAGGGGGGUAGAAAUUCCAGGUGUAGCGGUGAAAUGCGUAGAGAUCUGGAGGAAUACCGGUGGCGAAGGCGGCCCCCCUGGACGAAGACUGACGCUCAGGUGCGAAAAGCGUGGGGAGCAAAACAGGAUUAGAUACCCUGGUAGUCCACGCUGUAAAACGAUGUCGAUUUGGAGGUUGUGCCCUUGAGGCGUGGCUUCCGGAGCUAACGCGUUAAAUCGACCGCCUGGGGAGUACGGCCG
rnacentral:rRNA from 1 species